UAUCUCUGUAGAGUCUGCAUAUCAAUAAGCGGAGGAAAAGAAACUAACUAGGAUUCCCUCAGUAACGGCGAGUGAAGCGGGAAGAGCUCAAAUUUGAAAUCUUCAAGGUUCUACCUUGACGAAUUGUAGUUUAAAGAAGUGUUUUCUGUUGGAGUUUUGGUAAAAGUUCUUUGGAAUAGGACAUCAUAGAGGGUGAGAAUCCCGUAUUUGACCAUUAUUUCCAGCUUUGUGAUACACUUUCAAAGAGUCGGAUUGUUUGGGAAUGCAGUCCAAAAUGGGUGGUAAAUUUCAUCUAAAGCUAAAUAUUGGCGAGAGACCGAUAGCGAACAAGUACCGUGAGGGAAAGAUGAAAAGAACUUUGAAAAGAGAGUUAAACAGUACGUGAAAUUGUCAAAAGGGAAGCGUUUGACACCAGUGUUGUUUUCUCGAAAAUCAAUUAAAAAAGGCAGGAUUUUGUGUUGUAUUGACUUUAUCAGCUUUCUGCACUCUUUCCUUGUCUUUUUUAAUGCACUUUUCGUUUAACAAGUCAACAUCAAUUUCUUUUGUUGUAAAAGAGGUCAUUGGAAGGUGGCUUUCACUUUCGGAUGAAAGUGUUUAUAGCCUUUGGCCUUCUGCAAUCGGAGAGAUUGAGGUCUGCAGCGUAGAUCCUUCGGGGUUAGAUACAUUAGAUGCUAAGUUAUAGCUUUUUAUAGACAACUUGUUGACUAUGAUUAAGUCAUGUAGCUUACUCGUUAUGCCUAUUUUACCUACGCUUAGGAUGUUGAGUCAUCACACAUCUCU
rnacentral:rRNA from 1 species